rnacentral:rRNA from 1 species
CCUAAGGUAGCGAAAUUCCUUGUCGGGUAAGUUCCGACCUGCACGAAUGGCGUAAUGAUGGCCAGGCUGUCUCCACCCGAGACUCAGUGAAAUUGAACUCGCUGUGAAGAUGCAGUGUACCCGCGGCAAGACGGAAAGACCCCGUGAACCUUUACUAUAGCUUGACACUGAACAUUGAGCCUUGAUGUGUAGGAUAGGUGGGAGGCUUGGAAGUGUGGACGCCAGUCUGCAUGGAGCCGACCUUGAAAUACCACCCUUUAAUGUUUGAUGUUCUAACGUUGACCCGUAAUCCGGGUUGCGGACAGUGUCUGGUGGGUAGUUUGACUGGGGCGGUCUCCUCCUAAAGAGUAACGGAGGAGCACGAAGGUUGGCUAAUCCUGGUCGGACAUCAGGAGGUUAGUGCAAUGGCAUAAGCCAGCUUGACUGCGAGCGUGACGGCGCGAGCAGGUGCGAAAGCAGGUCAUAGUGAUCCGGUGGUUCUGAAUGGAAGGGCCAUCGCUCAACGGAUAAAAGGUACUCCGGGGAUAACAGGCUGAUACCGCCCAAGAGUUCAUAUCGACGGCGGUGUUUGGCACCUCGAUGUCGGCUCAUCACAUCCUGGGGCUGAAGUAGGUCCCAAGGGUAUGGCUGUUCGCCAUUUAAAGUGGUACGCGAGCUGGGUUUAGAACGUCGUGAGACAGUUCGGUCCCUAUCUGCCGUGGGCGCUGGAAGAUUGACGGGGGCUGCUCCUAGUACGAGAGGACCGGAGUGGACGCAUCACUGGUGUUCGGGUUGUCAUGCCAAUGGCACUGCCCGGUAGCUAAAUGCGGAAGAGAUAAGUGCUGAAAGCAUCUAAGCACGAAACUUGCCCCGAGAUGAGUUCUCCCUGACUCCUUGAGAGUCCUGAAGGAACGUUGAAGACGACGACGUUGAUAGGCCGGGUGUGUAAGCGCAGCGAUGCGUUGAGCUAACCGGUACUAAUGAACCGUGAGGCUUAACCUU